rnacentral:rRNA from 1 species
GACGAACGCUGGCGGCGUGCUUAACACAUGCAAGUCGUGCGGUAAGGCCCUUUUGGGGGUGCACGCGCGACUAACGGACGAGUAACUAGCGAGCAACUUGCCCUCCCUUUUGGGUUAAAUGACGGCAACGGAGGCUAAUACAGGCCAGGAAUUCCCUCCGCCUGCAGGGUGGUGGUUAGAAUUCUGGUGGUUGGGGAUGGGCUCGCGGUCUAUCAGCUUGUUGGUGGGGUGAUGGCCUACCAAGGCUUCGACGGGUAGCCGGCCUGAGAGGGUGACCGGCCACACUGGGACUGAGACACGGCCCAGACUCCUACGGGAGGCAGCAGUGGGGAAUAUUGGACAAUGGGCGGAAGCCUGAUCCAGCAACGCCGCGUGAGGGAUGACGGCCUUCGGGUUGUAAACCGCUUUCGCCUGCGACGAAGCGAGAGUGACGGUAGCAGGUAAAGAAGCACCGGCCAACUACGUG